rnacentral:rRNA from 1 species
UACAGAGGUCUCAAGCGUUGUUCGGAUUCAUUGGGCGUAAAGGGUGUGUAGGUGGCGCCGUAAGUCGGGUGUGAAAUUUUCGGAGCUUAACUCCGAAACUGCAUUCGAUACUGCGGUGCUUUGAGGACUGGAGAGGAGACUGGAAUUCAUGGUGUAGCAGUGAAAUGCGUAGAGAUCAUGAGGAAGACCAGUGGCGAAGGCGGGUCUCUGGACAGUUUCCUGACACUGAGACACGAAGGCCAGGGGAGCAAACGGG